GAGGGGGUGACUAGUGACAGAGUGGGUGACUAGUGACAGAGUGAGAGAGGGGGUGACUAGUGACAGAGUGAGGGAGGGAGUGGGUGACUAGUGAGAGUGAGGAAGGGGGUGACACAGUGAAAGAGUGAGGAAGGGGGUGACACAGUGACAGUGAGGGAGGGGGUGACUGUCACUAGUCACCUGAUCCCUCCCUCUGUCACUAAUCACCACCACCCUCACUCUGUCACUAGUCACCCCUUCCCUCCCUCUCUCUGUCACUAGUCACCCCCUCCCUCUCUCUGUCACUAGUCACCCACACCCUCACUCUGUCACUAAUCACGCCCUCCCUCACUCUGUCACUAGUCACACACUCCCUC